CCAGUCACUUGUGCCAUGAGCUGCCACUCUGAGGACCACUCCCUUGGGACCACACAUGGUUAAAGCCACCACCUGGCCUUUUCUCCUCCUGCCUCCUGAUAUGACUCUGUGGUACAAGGGCCAUCCACAGAGCUCCCAGCUGCAGACAUGUGUUCCUGCUCAGACAGGGCCAGAAGGCACUGCCAACCUCGGUGCCAUUGCUCUGGGAGCUGACCGUCCUCCAGUUCCUCUUCCUGGAAUCCUCGGGUUAUUCAUGUCUGUGUGCCUGGGCUCCUGGCUAGGUUGGCCAGUUCAAGCUAAUUUGAUUCUGGAAGACUUUUCCCAGUAGUAGCAGCACGAAGUGACUGCUGCUUGAUUCCUGUGGAUAUGUGUAUGAUUUGGGGGAUGGAAGUGGAAGGGAGGCUUCCUUUCUCUGGAAUCCCAAGGAGUGGAGCAUAGCUCAAAGGAACAACCAUGUGUGAGAGACACCUCUAUCACCUGGAGCCAUCUAGCUGCCCCCCAGCAUCCAGAGGAAAAGGAGCCUCAGAGCCUCUGGGCCACUCCCAAAGGAGUCCAGAGAAAGUCUUGGAUCUGGUAGCCUGCUGCCCCCCAACUGCAUGGGGAGGUGGAGAUGGACUGUCAGCCAGGUGGACGUCCUCCAAGCACUGAGGGAACUGCUGGUGAUGGACGCACCUGCCGGAGCCAGAGCCUUAGACCAGGGAUGCUUUAUAAAGGAAUCAUCGAGUCCGUAGCCUUUGAGACACGCUUCUUCUAUUCCGUGAUGCCUUUGAGAUGCACCAUGUCAUUGCCUGUAUCAGUAGUUUGUUCCUUGUGUUGCUAAGUGGCAUUCCACUGCAUGGGCGCGCCGUGGUUCAUCUAUUCCCCUGAUGAAAGACAUGUGUACUGUUUCAAGGUGGGUUUUU
rnacentral:lncRNA from 1 species